UUAAUUGAAACCAAAAAGAGGUAUAUUACUGUUAAUGAUAUCAUUGAAUUAUAUAUUCCAAUUAAA
rnacentral:tRNA from 1 species